UACGUGGGGUGCAAGCGUUGUUCGGAAUUACUGGGCGUAAAGCGCGUGUAGGCGGCUCGGUAAGUCUGCUGUGAAAGUCCAGGGCUCAACCCUGGGAUGCCGGUGGAUACUGUCGAGCUCGAGUCCGGAAGAGGCGAGUGGAAUUCCGUGGUGUAGCGGUGAAAUGCGCAGAUAUCAGGAGGAACACCAAUGGCGAAGGCAGCUCGCUGGGACGUGACUGACGCUGAGACGCGAAAGCGUGGGGAGCGAACAGGAUUGAGAU
rnacentral:rRNA from 1 species